CACGUAGGGCGCAAGCGUUGUCCGGAAUUAUUGGGCGUAAAGAGCUCGUAGGUGGUUUGUUACGUCUGCUGUGAAAACCUAGGGCUUAACCCUGGGCUUGCAGUGGAUACGGGCAGACUAGAGGUAGGUAGGGGAGAAUGGAAUUCCUGGUGUAGCGGUGAAAUGCGCAGAUAUCAGGAGGAACACCAGUGGCGAAGGCGGUGCUCUGGGCCGGAACUGACGCUGAGGAGCGAAAGCGUGGGGAGCAAACAGG
rnacentral:rRNA from 1 species